CUCUCUCUCUCUCUCUCUCUCUCUCUCUCUCUCUCUCUAGCACCCGCAUUGUCAAAAACUAUUCUUAUGCAUAAUACUAUAUAAUCUUACCACUUGUCAGAUUGAAGUUCAAUGUUAUAGAAGAGAGAGAGAGAGAGAGAGAGAGAGAGAG
rnacentral:miRNA from 1 species